rnacentral:lncRNA from 1 species
UGAUGUUAUAAUGGCAGGGCACAGUGAGGUAUAUAGCACAUGAUGUUAAAAUAGCAGAACACAGUGAGGUAUAUGGCACAUGAUGUUAAAAUGGCAUGGCACAGUGAGGUAUAUGGUACAUGAUGUUAAAAUGGCAGGGCACAGUGAGGUAUAUGGUACAUGAUGUUAAAAAACUGGGCACAGUGAGGUAUAUAGCACAUGAUGUUAAAAUGGCAGGGCACAGCGAGGUAUCUAGCACAUGAUGUUAAAAUAGCAGGGCAAAGUGAGGUAUCUAGCACAUGAUGUUAAAAUGGCAGGGCACAGUCAGGUAUAUGGUACAUGAUGUUAAAAUGGCAGGGCACAGUCAGGUAUAUAGCACAUGAUGUUAAAAUGGCAGGGCACAGUCAGGUAUAUAGCACAUGAUGUUAAAAUGGCAGGGCACAGUCAGGUAUACAGCACAUGAUGUUAAAAUGGCAGGGCACAGUCAGGUAUAUAGAACAUGAUGUUAAAAUGGCAGGGCACAGUCAGGUGUAUAGUACAUGAUGUUAAAAAACAGGGCACAGUGAGGUAUAUAGCACAUGAUGUUAAAAUGGCAGGGCACAGCGAGGUAUCUAGCACAUGAUGUUAAAAUAGCAGGGCAAAGUGAGGUAUCUAGCACAUGAUGUUAAAAUGGCAGGGCACAGCGAGAUCUAGCACAUAAUAUUAAAAUGGCAGGGCACAGCGCGGUAUCUAGAACAUGGUGUUAACAUGGCAGGGCACAGCGAGGUAUCUAGCACAUGGUGUUAACAUGGCAGGGCACAGCGAGGUACAUAGUACAUGGGGUUAACAUGGCAGGGCACAGUCAAGUCUACAUGGUGUUAACAUGGCAGGGCACAGUCAGGUAUGUAGCACAUGAUGUUAAAAUGACAGGGCACAGUGAGUCAUAGCACAAGUUGGAAUGGCAGAGCACAGUGAGGUACCUUUUUUUUUGGCCCCUUUCACACUGCCAAGAAAAGGCCAAAAAAUGAAACUACCAGAUCUGUUAGUACUAGUAAGGCCAGAGAAAGUCCUUUCACGCUUGAGGAAAAUCCAAAGGUUUAAUGUAUCAUAUAGGAAUUACUAGGAAAAAGCCAGAGCAAGUGCCUUUUAAAUAACAGGCUGCAAUCUAAAUUUUAUUUUUAAAUCCCAAAGGUGGAACAUAUGGCAAAAUUUGUUUAAAUUUAUACAUAUGAAAAGGGGGUUAAACUCUACAAAUAGUCUCAUUAAAUGCCCUGUCUAUACAAAAAUAUGAGGUGAAAGUAUAGGGUUCCCAUAUCAACUGUUGGUCAUUUAUAGACUUAUUGUUCAGAACAUGCAUGUUUCUAACCCUAAAUGUAACAUUUUCUCCACAUCUGAUAGGAAAUACUACAUUUGACCAUUGACCCUUUCUUUGCAGGAUUUCCAUAACUCCGUGACUACAGUCCGUAGAGAAUUGGCUUUGGUCUGAAACCCAUCAGAUUUACAUGUUUCCAUUCACUGCAAUGAAGAAUUUUGUGCAAGUCACCAGAGCCCCCGUUCCUGAUCUUUGACCAAACAGCCUCAUAACUACUGGUCAGAGAAAUCUUAUAUCAUCCAGAAGACAUUUCUAUCAACUUCGUAGAUGAGUAAUUUAGAACUUCAUCAGUAACUGCCUGAAUCUGUGGCAAGCAUUUUUUGCUAAGAGACAGAAAGUCAACAUGCUCCUCCUCACUUUCCUCCUCAUACUGAAUUUCAGAUAUUGCAAACGUACCGGUGUUACUGUCAGAUGAUUUAUUCGAGAUUGGUGGCAGCAGUCGUUUAGUUGACAGAUUCAAUUCCAGUUCAGAAACCGAUGGAAGGUUCAACUGAGCACGUGGCAAC